GGGUCAGUAGGUUGGUCGUGCCACCGGUACGUACUGGUCUCACUGAUUCCUCCUUCCUGAAGAACCGUAACGCCAUUAAUUUGGUGUUGCGGGGAAACAGGACUGUUACUUUGAAAAAAUUAGAGUGUUUAAAGCAAGCCAACGCUUGAAUACAUUAGCAUGGAAUAAUGAAAUAGGACGAUCGAUCCUAUUUUGUUGGUUUCUAGGAUUGACGUA
rnacentral:rRNA from 1 species